rnacentral:rRNA from 1 species
AUUGAACGCUGGCGGAAUGCUUUACACAUGCAAGUCGAACGGCAGCACGGACUUCGGUCUGGUGGCGAGUGGCGAACGGGUGAGUAAUACAUCGGAACGUGCCCAGUCGUGGGGGAUAACGUAGCGAAAGCUACGCUAAUACCGCAUACGAUCUACGGAUGAAAGCGGGGGAUCGCAAGACCUCGCGCGAUUGGAGCGGCCGAUGGCAGAUUAGGUAGUUGGUGGGGUAAAGGCUCACCAAGCCGACGAUCUGUAGCUGGUCUGAGAGGACGAACAGCAAAACUGGGACUGAGCCACGGCCCAGACUCCUACGGGAGGCAGCAGUGGGGAAUUUUGGACAAUGGGCGCAAGCCUGAUCCAGCCAUUCCGCGUGCAGGAUGAAGGCCCUCGGGUUGUAAACUGCUUUUGUACGGAACGAAAAGGCUCUGGUUAAUACCCGGGGCUCAUGACGGUACCGUAAGAAUAAGCACCGGCUAACUAUAUGCCAGCCGCCGCCGUAA